AGCUUUGCGCAGUGGCAGUAUCGUAGCCAAUGAGGUUUAUCCGAGGUGCGAUUAUUACUAAUUGAAAUCAGCAGCUCCCUCAUUUUGUUUUAUUUUAUUUUUUUUGAGAUAAGCUCUCACUC
rnacentral:snRNA from 1 species